GAUGAAGAACGCAGCGAAAUGCGAUAAGUAAUGUGAAUUGCAGAAUUCAGUGAAUCAUCGAAUCUUUGAACGCACAUUGCGCCCGCCAGUAUUCUGGCGGGCAUGCCUGUUCGAGCGUCAUUACAACCCUCAGGCCCCCGGGCCUGGCGUUGGGGAUCGGCGGAAGCCCCCUGUGGGCACAACGCCGUCCCCCAAAUACAGUGGCGGUCCCGCCGCAGCUUCCAUUGCGUAGUAGCUAACACCUCGCAACUGGAGAGCGGCGCGGCCACGCCGUAAAACACCCAACUUCUGAAUGUUGACCUCGAAUCAGGUAGGAAUACCCGCUGAACUUAAGCAUAUCAAUAAGCGGAGGA
rnacentral:misc_RNA from 1 species